rnacentral:rRNA from 1 species
ACGUAGGAGACAAACGUUAUCCGGAGUUACUGGGCGUAAAGGGCGUGUAGGUGGUAAUGUAAGUCUGGCGUGAAAUUUUUCGGCUUAACCGGGAAAGGUCGUCGGAUACUGCAAGGCUAGAGGACGGUAGAGGCGUGUGGAAUUCCGGGUGUAGUGGUGAAAUGCGUAGAUAUCGGAAGGAACAUCAGUGGCGAAAGCGGCUUCCUGGACCAGCACCGACGUUCAGGCACGAAAGCGUGGGAGCAAACAGG